GCUAACUGCAGUCGAAGCGAGACAUUGGAGCUUGCUCCUCUGGGUUAACUGCAGACGGGUGAGUACACCUGGGCAACCUGCCCUGCAGAUCGGGAUAACUCCGGUGAAACCGACUGCUAAUACCCAAUAGUUUGCAGCCUCUCAUGAGGCUGCCCGGAUAGACCGUUUCGGCUGUCACUGCAGGAUGGGCCCGCGGAGCAUUAUCUAGUUGGUUAGGUAACGGCUCACCAAGGCCACGAUGCGUAGCCCACCUGAGAGGGUGAUCGGCCACACUGUCACUGAGACUCGGCCCAAACUCCUACGGGAGGUAGCACUAGGGAAUCUUCCGCAAUGGACGAAAGUCUGACGGAGCAACUCCGCGAGAGUGAAGAAGGGUUUCGGAUCGUAAAACUCUGUUGUGAGGGAUGAACAAGUACCAUAUAACUACUAGUACCUUGACGGUACCUCACCAGAAAGCCACGGCUAACUACGUGCCAACAC
rnacentral:rRNA from 1 species